AUCUCCACAUAGCACUCGGGCUGUGCUACUUUACGUCCCAGCUGCGGAUCUCUGAUGGGACAGCUGGGAGGGUGGGCUGCGGGUCUGCGGCAGGGCUGUCUGGUACCUGCUUGGUACCAAGCCCACUUACUCGUCUGAGAUGGGGCAUCUGUCAGCCAAGAUGGAAGCAGGGUGACGAUGCUGAGGCCACACACGUGGCCCCUGGAAACGAAAGAAUCCAUGUGGGAUUUGGAUUUGACGGGGGCUGUGUAAGAAUCCUAAGCGCAUCCUUAGCUGAUGAACAAGCUGUGAGCCUCGUGAAAGAAAGUCUCAGCACCUCUUCCCUCCUCGUCUGCAACGGGCACCGUGGUUCCUCCAUGAGACAGUGCUGUGAGGGUGGGUGCCCAGCUGUGUGCACAGUGUGUGUGCCAGGCGGAGCAGCUGGCACGGGGUAGGUGUUCACAAAGUACUUUCUGAGUGAAUGGAAAAGAAAAGGUAUCUAUUGGUGUAGAACAAGGGCGGGGUAUCCUACCCUUCUGGGUCAGUUUAAUUCUCUCCCUUGCAAUUUACUCAGAUGCAAGAAACCAAAGGCUUCCUGGUACUCGGGCAAAGCUUGGCUCAGAGAAGCUGCCACGCCGCUCGGGGCACACAGCGGAGUGCCCAGCAGGCGGUCGGCUUCCUAUG